CCUACGGGGGGCUGCAGUGAGGAAUAUUCCACAAUGGGGGAAACCCUGAUGGAGCGAUGCCGCGUGCAGGAAGACGCUUUUCGGAGUGUAAACUGCUUUUAAUAGGGAAGAUUAUGACGGUACCUAUAGAAUAAGGACCGGCUAACUACGUGCCAGCAGCCGCGGUAAUACGUAGGGUCCAAGCGUUAUUCGGAAUUACUGGGCGUAAAGCGUACGUAGGCGGUCAGAUAAGUUGGAUGUGAAAUCCUGUGGCUCAACCACAUGGACUGUGUCCAAAACUAUUUGACUAGAGCAUAGUAGAGGCAAGUGGAAUUUGCGGUGUAGGAGUGACAUCCGUAGAUAUCGCAAGGAACACCAAUGGCGAAGGCAGCUUGCUGGGCUAUUGCUGACGCUCAGGUACGAAAGCGUGGGGAGCGAACGGGAUUAGAUACCCCAGUAGUC
rnacentral:rRNA from 1 species